rnacentral:lncRNA from 1 species
ACACAUGAUAAGUGUAAUCGAACUCAAUCAUGGAUCUUUUGAUGGCCCUAUUGCACUCCUCUACUUUUCGUGUUCUCGCUACUUGUCUUCUCUUAUUUCGUUUAGCCUACCAUUUGAUUUAGGUUGGUUGGAUGAAUGUUUGUAGGCCACAUGGUGGUAGCAAGAGGAUAAGAUUUUAGGAUAUUUUGUUGUUUUGUUUCGGUGUGCAUUCCUGUGGACCAUGUUUCUUACCAUUUUUGUGCUUGCACUACAAUCUGGAUAUUGGAUAUCACUAGACAUCAAGAAAAAGGGACUUUGCUAUCUUAUCUUGUUUGGCAUCUCUAGUGAUAUAUCUUGCGUGGUAUGGGUUUCCACUUACUUGUUAUGUUCUCUUUGUGCAUGUAAUCGUUGGGUCUUUUAGAGCGUGAACUUCAGUUUUCUUCCUAAUCAAUGGGUCCCUUCCUUCUUUGUCAAAACUACUGUUGUGUGGAAAUUCUCAACAAUGAUAAAAAUUUCCACUAGUGUGUUUGUACUUUGCAGCCAUAAAGUUUUUAGUCUAGAUGCUUAUUUUCUUGGAUGAUCCAAAUGACGAGAUCCCUGAUUUUUUUGGACACCUGAGAAGUACCCAAACUCAAUUUUAGAUCUUCUUAUGGCCCUAAGAGCUACUCUACUUUAGUGUUCUUGCUGCUCUUAUGUUUAUCAUGGCACUUGAUUUUGUUUUGAAAGCUGAUCGCCUAGUCGCCAAUGACGAGAGGCGAGGCGAGCCGACCCUUCAUUGCCUUUUAGCUUUGUGGCGAGUCGAUCUUCAAAAGGCGACGCCAUGGCGACAAAAGGCGAGAGGCUAGAAAGGCGUUGCCUUUUGUAGUUUCUUAAAAAAAAGGCUACCAGUUCAGGGUUUUAAAAGUUUAAACGUGUUUUAGUGUUUUCGACUAGACUCCUUCGGCGACCAGCCAAACUUUUCCGUCGACUCCAAAGUCCAACAAU